ensembl:lncRNA
GAGCAAUGAUGUCAGAGUGUGAUGAGAGUACAGCAAACUGGCAACGAUUUGUUUGAAGAGCACCACAUGCCCUCAACCAGGUGGCUUCUUCACAAGAACAAGACAAUGGAAAAAGAGAAUACUCCAGAACCCAGGGUCUCAGUGUAUGCCUUGCAUGUGAGAGGAAGAUGGCGUUUUGAAAUACUGGAUGCAAUAAACAAUGCACUGGAGUUAGUGGAUCAAGCUGGAAUUAGUGAGGUUGUUGCAGCUCUUCAGGGGUCUCAGUCUCAGAGCAAUGAUGUGCCAGCCACUAUUGUUGCAGCUGUUAAAGAGCUUCAGUCCAGCAAUGAUGAUGUGCCGACCAAUGCAGAUGAUGUUGCUGAUGGGAAUGGAAAAUGACUGCCAAU